GCUCCUAGAGUAUCUACUAUGUUUGCUUCAUCCCAACUCUUUAUUAUUUUUAAACUAAAUGGUUCAAGUAAUUUACUAAAAUAUAAUCUUCUCACUUCUUUACUUUCUUCUGCAUUAUAUGCUCUUGAUGGCCUAUAACUCUUGUUCUUCAUUCCGAACAAUAGCUGCGUUUUGAUGCUUUCGCUCCUUUAUUUCUCUAGUGUUUGGUGUUGUGGUUUAUGUAUUAUUGUUUGUUGUUUGACACUGUUUUGUGGUCAAUUUUGGAGAAUAAUAUUAUAACUCUUGGUG
rnacentral:lncRNA from 1 species